rnacentral:rRNA from 1 species
GCUUACGGCCAUACCUGCCUGGGUACGCCCGAUCUCGUCUUCUCGGAAGCUAAGCCGGGUCGGGCCUGGUUAGUACUUGGAUGGGAGACCGCCUGGGAAUACCAGGUGCUGUAGGCA